rnacentral:rRNA from 1 species
GAUGAACGCUGGCGGCGUGCCUAAUACAUGCAAGUCGAGCGAACAGACGAGGAGCUUGCUCCUCUGACGUUAGCGGCGGACGGGUGAGUAACACGUGGAUAACCUACCUAUAAGACUGGGAUAACUUCGGGAAACCGGAGCUAAUACCGGAUAAUAUAUUGAACCGCAUGGUUCAAUAGUGAAAGACGGUUUUGCUGUCACUUAUAGAUGGAUCCGCGCCGCAUUAGCUAGUUGGUAAGGUAACGGCUUACCAAGGCAACGAUGCGUAGCCGACCUGAGAGGGUGAUCGGCCACACUGGAACUGAGACACGGUCCAGACUCCUACGGGAGGCAGCAGGAGGGAAUCUGCCGCAAUGGGCGAAAGCUUGACGGAGCAACGCCGCGGGAGUGAUGAAGGUCUUCGGAUCGUAAAACGCUGUUAUUAGGGAAGAACAAAUGUGUAAGUAACGAUGCACGUCUUGACGGUACCGAAGCAGAAAGCCACGGCUAACUACGU